GGAAUUCCGUCAGGGUUAUCCUCCUCCCAAUCCUGACGGAUACGACCGGCUCCUCCUCCUCCCAAAAGCCGGUCACCCUAAAACGACACCCGCCGAACCUCCUCCCUCGGCGGGUGUUGUUU
rnacentral:sRNA from 1 species